rnacentral:rRNA from 1 species
CAGCGCCACGAGUGGGAGCCAUGAUUAUUGGGCCUAAAGCGUCCGUAGCCGGUUUGAUAAAUCUUUUGUGAAAUCGUUAGGCUUAACUUAACGACGUGCAGAAGACACUGUCAGACUUGGAACUGGGAGGAGUCAGAGGUAUUCUUGAGGGAGCGGUAAAAUGCUAUAAUCUCAGGAGGACCACCUGUGGCGAAGGCGUCUGACCAGAACAGAUUCGACGGUGAGGGACGAAAGCCAGGGGAGCGAUCCGGAUUAGAUACCCGAGUAGUCC